rnacentral:rRNA from 1 species
GUGCACGCUGGCGGUAGGCCUAACACAUGCAAGUCGAACGGCAGCACAGUAAGAGCUUGCUCUUACGGGUGGCGAGUGGCGGACGGGUGAGGAAUACAUCGGAAUCUACUUUUUCGUGGGGGAUAACGUAGGGAAACUUACGCUAAUACCGCAUACGACCUACGGGUGAAAGCCGGGGAUCUUCGGACCUUGCGCGAUUGAAUGAGCCGAUGUCGGAUUAGCUAGUUGGCGGGGUAAAGGCCCACCAAGGCGACGAUCCGUAGCUGGUCUGAGAGGAUGAUCAGCCACACUGGAACUGAGACACGGUCCAGACUCCUACGGGAGGCAGCAGUGGGGAAUAUUGGACAAUGGGCGCAAGCCUGAUCCAGCCAUACCGCGUGGGUGAAGAAGGCCUUCGGGUUGUAAAGCCCUUUUGUUGGGAAAGAAAAGCAGCAGGUUAAUACCCCGCUGUUCUGACGGUACCCAAAGAAUAAGCACCGGCUAACUUCGUG